UCGAGAGUUAAAAUGGCGGCUGUAUUUUCGUACGAAGUCGGAGGMAAAAUAGAUAUUUUAAUUUGUUUAUUGGCAAACUUAACUUAUGGCUGGAAUCUGCAGUGUUUACAGUGCAUUGAUUGGCUUGGCUCGCGUGGUAAUGAAUACGAAAGUAUUUGGACUUCCAUUUGAAUGAAGAUACAAGCAAAUCACUGAAGAGAGGACUGUGAGCAGUGUUAUGAAGUCAUAUGUUCAUCCCGGCAGCAGGACAACAAGUCUGGCAAGUUAGCAUGUACAUAUUUAAAGAAUUUUACAUUACUUUACUGCUAAGGCCAAACAAAAAAAUAAGUGAGUUUUCUGUUGUGCAACUGACCCUAACUUUCUUGCCAAUUUUGCUGACCCUAAUAUUUUUUUUAUUCCCAAAUGCACUACAGGGUGAAAAAAUCCGAGCUACCGACCCCAAAUAUUUUUCUUAUGCAACAGGAAACACACUUGUUCUAAGUUUUUUAGGACAGCAAUAGGGGGUGUUGGGAAAUAAGGUAUAUAUUAACCCACCAUUUGGACACUGGUCAGGCUUUUGAAAAUGUGGUCUGGUAUUUUUAUCGUGUAAUCAAUAUUUUUGUGAG